rnacentral:misc_RNA from 1 species
UCUCCGUAGGUGAACCAGCGGAGGGAUCAUUACAGAGUACUCGCCCUCGCGGAUCGUUCUCCCACCCUCUGUUAUCGUUACUGUCGUGUCUUUGGCGGGGCGCCGGGUCCCCGGCCGCCCGCGACCAGUAGGCGGCGCGGGCCUGACAGCAGCCUUCGAACCAUGAAUGUUAAUGUCGUCUGGUUACUAUAUAAUAGUUAAAACUUUCAACAACGGAUCUCUUGGUUCUG